GACGAACGCUGGCGGCGUGCUUAACACAUGCAAGUCGAACGGAAAGGCCCUGCUUUUGUGGGGUGCUCGAGUGGCGAACGGGUGAGUAACACGUGAGUAACCUGCCCUUGACUUUGGGAUAACUUCAGGAAACUGGGGCUAAUACCGGAUAGGAGCUCCUGCUGCAUGGUGGGGGUUGGAAAGUUUCGGCGGUUGGGGAUGGACUCGCGGCUUAUCAGCUUGUUGGUGGGGUAGUGGCUUACCAAGGCUUUGACGGGUAGCCGGCCUGAGAGGGUGACCGGCCACAUUGGGACUGAGAUACGGCCCAGACUCCUACGGGAGGCAGCUGUGGGGAAUAUUGCACAAUGGGCGGAAGCCUGAUGCAGCAACGCCGCGUGCGGGAUGACGGCCUUCGGGUUGUAAACCGCCUUCGCCUGUGACGAAGCGUGAGUGACGGUAAUGGGUAAAGAAGCACCGGCUAACUACGUG
rnacentral:rRNA from 1 species